rnacentral:rRNA from 1 species
GCUCAGAAUCAACGCUGGCGGCGUGCUUCAUACAUGCAAGUCGAACGCGAAAGUGUCCUUCGGGACGCGAGUAGAGUGCCAGACGGGUGAGUAACGCGUGGGUGACCUGCCUACGAGUGGGGGAUAACCUUCCGAAAGGAGGGCUAAUACCGCAUAACGUCCCGUUCUUGGAUGGACGGUGACCAAAGCCGGGGAUCUUCGGACCUGGCGCUUGUUGAUGGACCCGCGUCCGAUUAGCUUGUUGGUGAGGUAACGGCUCACCAAGGCAACGAUCGGUAGCCGGCCUGAGAGGGCGGACGGCCACACUGGGACUGAGACACGGCCCAGACUCCUACGGGGGGCAGCAGUAAGGAAUUGUUCGCAAUGGGCGAAAGCCUGACGACGCAACGCCGCGUGGAGGAUGAAGACCUUCGGGUCGUAAACUCCUGUCGAGCGGGAAGAAUGGCCUGCGGGUUAAUACCCCGCGAGCGUGACGGUACCGYAGAGGAAGCCCC